rfam:Erinaceus europaeus unplaced genomic scaffold scaffold00500, whole genome shotgun sequence
UACAGCUUGGUGGCUGAAAAGCAUUAAGAUUUACAGUGGACAGAGAAGAUUAGCUUGGCCCCUGCACAAGGAUGACACGCAAAUUCAUGAAGUGUUCCAUUAUUUU